UUGACAUAUAGGUCCUGAGAGGGGACAGAGGAGAGGUUCUCACAUCCCUCUGGUAGGCCGGCGUCAGUGGAGGGGAAGGGGACAACAGAAAUGGUGAUGGGGUGGUGGUGGUGAUCAUUUGAGUAUUUGUUGGCACUUUGGAUGGUCGGCUGGAUAAUGUCGGCAUUGGCAGGUGUGGUUAGGAGCGUCACCUUGACGCCUUGACGGUUGAAGAGCUUGGCAAUAUCGAUCAUGGGGCUCAUGUGGCCUGGGGCCAUGAAGGGGAAGAUGAGGAUGUGGAGGGGCUGAGUUUCUAAGCCCAUGGUCGGGCGAAGU
rnacentral:misc_RNA from 1 species